UACGAAGGGGGCUAGCGUUGCUCGGAAUCACUGGGCGUAAAGGGUGCGUAGGCGGGUUUCUAAGUCAGAGGUGAAAUCCUGGAGCUCAACUCCAGAACUGCCUUUGAUACUGGAAGUCUUGAGUAUGGGAGAGGUGAGUGGAACUGCGAGUGUAGAGGUGAAAUUCGUAGAUAUUCGCAAGAACACCAGUGGCGAAGGCGGCUCACUGGCCCAUUACUGACGCUGAGGCACGAAAGCGUGGGGAGCAAACAGGG
rnacentral:rRNA from 1 species